UGAUAGUCAUUUUUUAGAUGAAUGGUUUUCUGAUUGGUACCAGAUUGACGGCGAUAUUUAUGGAACUGUGGUUGUUGCUGGACAUGUUACAUUAGGUCGACCUUUGGGAAGCAAAUAUUUAAUCUGAACGGGUUGUUAAACAAGAAUUGAUAUUUUGCUUCAUCUCUGGAUUUGGAGGCAAUUAGUGGUUUCUUUCAUUAGCAUGAAAUUAAGUUAUUCCCCAGGAAUAUACAAUAAGCAGUAGUUCUCGUAUUUGAAUUUUUGAAC
rnacentral:lncRNA from 1 species